rnacentral:rRNA from 1 species
CUAUAAUGCAGUCGGACGGGAUCCAUCGGAGAGCUUGCUCGAAGAUGGUGAGAGUGGCGCACGGGUGCGUAACGCGUGAGCAACCUACCUCUAUCAGGGGGAUAGCCUCUCGAAAGAGAGAUUAACACCGCAUAAUAUAUCUGACCGGCAUGGGUUAGUGAUUAAAUAUUUAUAGGAUAGAGAUGGGCUCGCGUGACAUUAGCUAGUUGGUAGGGUAACGGCUUACCAAGGCGACGAUGUCUAGGGGCUCUGAGAGGAGAAUCCCCCACACUGGUACUGAGACACGGACCAGACUCCUACGGGAGGCAGCAGUAAGGAAUAUUGGUCAAUGGGCGGAAGCCUGAACCAGCCAUGCCGCGUGCAGGAUGACUGCCCUAUGGGUUGUAAACUGCUUUUGUCCAGGAAUAAACCUUUAUACGUGUAUCAAGCUGAAUGUACUGGAAGAAUAAGGAUCGGCUAACUCCGUGCCAG